GAUGAACGCUGGCGGCGUGCUUAACACAUGCAAGUCGAACGAAGCACUUUAUUUGAUUUCCUUCGGGACUGAUUAUUUUGUGACUGAGUGGCGGACGGGUAAGUAACGCGUGGGUAACCUGCCUUGUACAGGGGGAUAACAGUUGGAAACGGCUGCUAAUACCGCAUAAGCGCACGGCGUCGCAUGAUGCAGUGUGAAAAGCUCCGGUGGUAUAAGAUGGACCCGCGUUGGAUUAGCUAGUUGGUGAGGUAACGGCCCACCAAGGCAACGAUCCAUAGCCGACCUGAGAGGGUGACCGGCCACAUUGGGACUGAGACACGGCCCAAACUCCUACGGGAGGCAGCAGUGGGGAAUAUUGCACAAUGGGCGAAAGCCUGAUGCAGCGACGCCGCGUGAGCGAAGAAGUAUUUCGGUAUGUAAAGCUCUAUCAGCAGGGAAGAUAAUGACGGUACCUGACUAAGAAGCACCGGCUAAAUACGUGCCAGCAGCCGCGGUAAUACGUAUGGUGCAAGCGUUAUCCGGAUUUACUGGGUGUAAAGGGAGCGCAGGCGGUGCGGCAAGUCUGAUGUGAAAGCCCGGGGCUCAACCCCGGUACUGCAUUGGAAACUGUCGUACUAGAGUGUCGGAGGGGUAAGCGGAAUUCCUAGUGUAGCGGUGAAAUGCGUAGAUAUUAGGAGGAACACCAGUGGCGAAGGCGGCUUACUGGACGAUAACUGACGCUGAGGCUCGAAAGCGUGGGGAGCAAACAGGAUUAGAUACCCUGGUAGUCCACGCCGUAAACGA
rnacentral:rRNA from 1 species